rnacentral:rRNA from 1 species
UGCAAGUCGGGCGGACGAUUAAAAGCUUGCUUUUGAUCGUCAGCGGCGAACGGGUGAGUAACACGUGGGCAACCUGCCUGUAAGACCGGGAUAACUUGCGGAAACGUGAGCUAAUACCGGAUAAUCUCCUUCUUCGCAUGAAGAAGGACUGAAAGACGGCGUAAGCUGUCACUUACAGAUGGGCCCGCGGCGCAUUAGCUGGUUGGUGAGGUAACGGCUCACCAAGGCGACGAUGCGUAGCCGACCUGAGAGGGUGAUCGGCCACACUGGGACUGAGACACGGCCCAGACUCCUACGGGAGGCAGCAGUAGGGAAUCUUCCGCAAUGGACGCAAGUCUGACGGAGCAACGCCGCGUGAGCGAUGAAGGCUUUAGGGUCGUAAAGCACUGUUGUAUGGGAAGAAAUGCUAGAAUAGGGAAUGAUUCUAGUUCGACGGUACCAUACCAGAAAGGGACGGCUAAAUAC